rnacentral:lncRNA from 1 species
CUUGAUCAAUAUAAAAAAUUACUUGGAUAUCUACUCACUCGUUAGUAAUUUUCUUGAUGCUGUAGUGGUGUGACUGAUCUUUUGACCUACAGUGCAUUGGCUAUUCAUGAUGAGGCUAUUUAGUUUGACUGCACGUUCCCUUGUCCCUAGCCAUUCGGAUCUUUACUGUGUGUAUUGGCUAUUGUAGAUUCAGAUUUGCUGUUUGGAGUAGGAUGCAUCUAGAUGGAAUCUAUCGACUUGGGUAGAAAAGGAGUAGUCCUAUGUGAUUUGCAAAAUUAAGUUCAGAAAGUCUCUGGCCAGAGCAAAUGUGAAUAUUAAAAAAAAUUCAUGAAAUUCAUAAAUAAAUUUGAGUCGAGUCAAUCUGGUAUAUGACUGAUGAUGGGGUUUAACGAGUUCUCCAUAACCUUCAUCUAAUUGGGACUCAUGAUAAAGAGACUGUAUCACAUGAUAACUACACUUAGGGAUUUAUUCUUCUAUUCUAUUGGAUUGCCACUAUAUGCUGCUAGAUGUCACUGGUGAAUCAUGAAAACUCACUAGGACCGAUUUCAGAUCAACGAUCCUUGUUGAGGUGAGUUGGAAUCAUUCCAGCCCAUCGAAAAGAGUUUCGAUGAUACUAUGAUGGAGAUCAUAGUAUGUCUCACUACC